UUUUCCUAUUAAUGUCAAUUUAAAUGUUGAAACACUUUAGUUUACCUUUUUGCUUUGUUUUUUCUUUUGUGCCAAAGAAUCUCCAAUGGGGCCCGGGUCUGAGGUUGAGAUAUUGUUCUGGACAAAAGCACUUAAAGCACUGCAUUACUCGCCCGGCUAGAUUAUCGUUUGCGAUAAGCGUCGGGGGAAAACACCUCGAAAACGAGAGGGAGAUAGGGAGAGAGCGAGAGAGAGAGAGAGCUCUACUCUGAAGUCCUUUGCUAUUUGGAGAGGCUAGGGCGUGGCCUGGCCGCAUAAUUGAACGAUAAAUUAAAUAAAAGCCCGUGGAAAAAAGCCCCAAAAAUCGAAAUGCAUUCAAGCGUAGUUUUUGCAUUCCAAUUGAACUGUUCAAAUGGAACUAGAACUGCAGAAGUGCACUUUUUGUGUGUUUGAAACACUCCGAAAACCUCCUUUGAAUCAAGUCUUUCCUUCAUGAAAAUUCUUUUGAAAACCUUCAUAUUGUACAGAUUAAUUAGGAAUUAUUCAAAUUAAAUAUUUAUGCAACAAAUUCCAAGAAAGUCAAUAUUUCAAUUAUGCAUUCGCAAUUAUUAUUUUGAUAUUACACAUAAAAUAACUCUGGAAGCUGGCUAGUUUCGAAAUGCGUUAGAAAUCAAUUUUACUGUGGAAUUCAUUUAUCAAUAAUUGAAUAUUUGUCUACCUGAGGCAUUCGAAAAUUAAUUAAAACAAAAGCAAAUAGCAAUCCCUCUGAAAAUGCCACCAAAAAUAUUGUUGGCUAAUUGAUAGGCGGGAAAAUUCACAUGACUUUUUCAGACAAUUUAAAACCGUUUAAUGGUUUUUCAUUAAUUUAAGCCUCGUCAAAUAUUUAAGUCUGGCAAUUUGACAAA